CCCCAACACGGAUCUCAUUGACUUGAGCACUUGCGCAAAAACGUCUCACCCAAACAGAGAUUCUUCUGACCGCAAGGGUUCAAGUCCAGCAUCGUUGGGCUCAUGUGCUACCUGGGUCUUUGCCACCGAAAUCAUUGACGACCUUCCUCUGAGCCAUGUGCUUCCAACUGCCUGACCCCAGCUUCUCCCUCCAGGAAUCAGUGCAGAAACUAAAGUUAAAAAGUACACUCUGAAUCCUGCCUGGCAAGCCCUGGGCAACCAAGAGCACUACAUUCUGGAACCGAGGCUCAGGUUGGCAGGCUCAGUUGGAUGCCACCUAGGGGGUAGAGAGGCCUCAGUGCAGUUCACCCCUCUGCCAGCCGUGGGAAGCUGAAGCUCCUCUGGUGCACCGAUGACUGUCGCAGAGGAAACACAAACCCGCUGCCUCCCCUGCAGCUCUUCCAGCUCCACAAAGUGACCCUGGAAUCACUCCAAAAUCACGAUUUCUAACCCUACGUUUGACCAUGGCCAUCCAGAGAUGUCUGGCAGGGGCUCAGCAGUGAUGGAGACCAGCAUGG